rnacentral:rRNA from 1 species
GACGAACGCUGGCGGCGUGCUUAACACAUGCAAGUCGAACGGAAAGGCCCUGCUUUUGUGGGGUGCUCGAGUGGCGAACGGGUGAGUAACACGUGAGUAACCUGCCCUUGACUUUGGGAUAACUUCAGGAAACUGGGGCUAAUACCGGAUAGGAGCUCCUGCUGCAUGGUGGGGGUUGGAAAGUUUCGGCGGUUGGGGAUGGUCUCGCGGCUUAUCAGCUUGUUGGUGGGGUAGUGGCUGACCAAGGCUUUGACGGGUAGCCGGCCUGAGCGGGUGACCGGCCACAUUGGGACUGAGAUACGGCCCAGACUCCUACGGGAGGCAGCAGUGGGGAAUAUUGCACAAUGGGCGGAAGCCUGAUGCAGCAACGCCGCGUGCGGGAUGACGGCCUUCGGGUUGUAAACCGCUUUCGCCUGUGACGAAGCGUGAGUGACGGUAAUGGGUACAGAAGCACCGGCUAACUACGUG